rnacentral:rRNA from 1 species
GACGAACGCUGGCGGCGUGCUUAACACAUGCAAGUCGAACGGAAAGGCCCCUUUGGGGGUACUCGAGUGGCGAACGGGUGAGUAACACGUGAGUAACCUGCCCUUGACUUCGGGAUAACUUCAGGAAACUGGGGCUAAUACCGGAUAGGAAUCCUUGCUGCAUGGUGGGGGUUGGAAAGCUUCGGCGGUUUUGGAUGGACUCGCGGCUUAUCAGCUUGUUGGUGGGGUAGUGGCUUACCAAGGCUUUGACGGGUAGCCGGCCUGAGAGGGCGACCGGCCACAUUGGGACUGAGAUACGGCCCAGACUCCUACGGGAGGCAGCAGUGGGGAAUAUUGCACAAUGGGCGGAAGCCUGAUGCAUCAACGCCGCGUGCGGGAUGACAGCCUUCGGGUUGUAAACCGCUUUCAGCAGGGGCGAAGCUUGUGGUGACGGUACCUGCAGAAGAAGCACCGGCUAACUACGUG